rnacentral:snoRNA from 1 species
GUGCACAUUUCAUUGUCUUUUUUCUUUAUGUGAAGAGAAAAGAUAUUUCCAAUGUGCUAAACAAGCCUUUGGGGGUAAAUUAGCAGCAUGACUAAUUUAGCCAAUGAUGUCAGUUAUUUUCAAACAAGU